AUGCGGAAUUCACGAUUUCGUGGAAGCAAUUCUGGUUCUUUCCAGAACAAUCGUUGGUGGUGGUGGUGGUCAGUGGCGUUGGAUCGUGUCUUGUCGUCUUUGGUUAGGCUCUUGGGGAGUGUGCAGAGAGUGUGGAGUAGGUUUGUAUCAAUGGGGUUGGGAAGCUUGUACAGAAGGAGGAUCAAAGUCUUCUCUGUAGCUAUACUCAUUUAUCUUGAUUACAAGAGUGUGCAGCAGAGAGAGAAGUGGAUUAAGAAGGCAAAGGUUCCUGCUUUAUGGGAGAAAGCUCAUGAACGUAACGCCAAGCGCGUGUUGAAUUUGAUUGUGGAGUUGGAAGGGCUAUGGGUGAAGCUAGGGCAGUAUCUAUCCACUCGUGCUGAUGUUCUUCCUCAGGCUUAUAUAUCUCUUCUCACUCAGUUGCAGGACUCCCUCCCUCCUCGCCCUUUGCAGGAGGUUCUUUAUCUACCUAAAUGCUUUUGUUUAAUGUGGUCUUAUUUUAAAGUUUGCUCUAUGUGUGCAUUGUAUCUCAGGUUCGUCGAACCAUUGAAAGGGAACUUGGGGAUUCCAUGGAAGUUCUGUUCACCGAUUUUGUCAACGAACCUCUAGCAACUGCUUCGAUAGCACAGGUUCACCGUGCUACUCUAGCUAAUGGCCAGGAUGUGGUUGUUAAAGUUCAGCAUAAUGGCAUUAGAGCAAUUAUUUUAGAGGAUUUGAAGAAUGCAAAGGCCAUUGUUGAUUGGAUCGCGUGGGCGGAACCACAGUAUGAUUUUAACCCCAUGAUAGAUGAAUGGUGCAAGGAAGCUCCAAGGGAACUAGACUUCAAUACUGAAGCUGAGAAUACUAAAACCGUAUCCAAGAAUCUUGGGUGCAAGAAGACUAAUGGUGAAGGUAGAAGUGACAACCGGGUUGACGUCUUAAUUCCAGAUAUAAUCCAGUCGUCUGAGAGUGUACUCAUUCUUGAGUAUAUGGAUGGAAUCCGCUUGAAUGAUGUGGAGUCUCUAGAUGCUUUUGGUAUAGAUAAACAAAAGAUCGUUGAAGAGAUCACUCGUGCAUAUGCUCACCAGAUAUAUGUUGAUGGUUUUUUCAACGGCGACCCUCAUCCUGGAAAUUUUCUUGUUAGUAAGGAGCCACCACAUCGCCCUAUUUUACUUGAUUUUGGGCUUACAAAGAAACUCUCACACCCCUUGAAACAAGCACUAGCCAAGAUGUUUCUAGCAUCGGCAGAGGGAGACCAAGUGGCGCUCUUGUCUGCCUUUGCAGAAAUGGGACUAAAGCUGCGGCUCGAUCUGCCAGAUCAGGCAAUGAGUGUGGCAGGUCUCUUCUUCCGAUCUUCAACUCCAUCUAACGAAGCUCUGAAAACGCUAAAAACCUUGAACGAUCAAAGAAUGAAAAAUAUCAAAGUUAUACAGGAAAAGAUGCAGCUCACCCCUAAAGAAGUUAAACGCUUCAAUCCGGUAGAUGCAUUCCCUGGUGAUAUUGUUAUUUUUGCAAGGGUCAUUAAUCUACUCAGAGGACUUUCAUCCACUAUGAAUGUUCGGAUUGUUUACCUGGACAUCAUGAGACCAUUUGCUGAAUCUGUUCUGUUGGGGAGUAUUAGUCGAGGACCAACUGUAGAUGCCUCUUGGAUACAUGACUCACCAGUCCAUUCUGAUGUAGAGUUCAAACUGAGGAAGCUGCUUGUUGAACUUGGGAGUAUUCAGAAAAUACUUGGGAUUCAGGUGUGUGCGUAUAAAGAUGGGAAAGUGAUUAUUGACACUGCUGCUGGAGUGCUUGGAAGAUAUGACCCUCGUCCGGUUCAACCCGAUAGUUUGUUUCCUGUGUUCUCUGUGACAAAGGGUAUCACUGCCGGAAUGAUACAUUGGCUUGUCGACAAAAGAAAACUCCAGCUAGACCAGACUGUAGGAGAUAUAUGGCCAGGCUUCGCAUCAAAUGGAAAAGAUGUCAUAAAGGUCCAUCAUGUGCUAAACCAUACAUCAGGGCUGCACAGUGCCUUUGACCCUGUAGGAGAAAACCCUCUGCUUAUAUGCGACUGGGAUGAAUGUUUGAAACGGAUUGCUAAUUCAUCACCUGAAACAGAGCCUGGCAGUCAGCAGUUUUAUCACUAUCUCACGUUUGGAUGGCUAUGUGGUGGAAUCCUCGAGUAUGCUUCUGGAAAGAAAUUCCAGGAGAUUCUUGAAGAAUCUAUUGUAAAACCUCUAAAGAUUGAUGGAGAACUGUACAUUGGUAUCCCCCCAGGUGUUGAAUCUCGGCUUGCCACAUUGACGCUAGACAUAGACGAACUAAGCAAGCUCACAUCCAUUGCUACUCAGCCUGAGCUUCCUUCUACAUUUCAGCCUGAGAAGAUCUUACAAAUGGCAACCAGCUUACCAGUCUUAUUCAACACAUUGAAUGUGCGCAGAGCUAUAAUCCCUGCAGCUAAUGGACACUGCUCGGCUCGUGCACUUGCUCGGUACUACGCAUCCUUAGCAGACGGCGGUCUAGUGCCACCGCCACAUUCCUCAUUAUCCCAGCCGCCACUUGGUAGCCACGCCCAUGUUCCGAAAUUCUCAUCGGUAAACGACACAAAGAAAAAGAGAAAGGGUAAGGAGAUGAUGGCGUCUACACAAAAGCUUAAACCAAAAGGUCAUAAAGAAAAAAGGCUCUAUGAUGAGGAGCAGUUUAUGAGUACAGAAAGUUUAGCCAGUCUUGUUAGUGAUACUAGCAAUGAUCAUCAAGAUGAUGAUAUUCGGAAUUUAUUUAGCAAUCCGAGGAUUCAUGAUGCUUUUAUGGGUGCUGGAGAUUACAGUGGCUUAGUACUACCUGAUGGGAAGUUUGGACUUGGUUUUAAGCGUGUCACUUCUCAAGAUGGGUCUCUAGUUGGUUUUGGACAUUCUGGGAUGGGAGGAUCAACAGGCUUCUGCGACAUCGAAAACAGAUUUUCUAUUGCUAUAACACUCAACAAGAUGUCUCUAGGAGGUGUAACGGCUAGUAUUAUCAGGCUGGUUUGCUCAGAGUUGAAUAUCCCCUUGCCAAAGGACUUCUCUAUUGCAAAUGGUAUGGGUCUAGAGUUGGAGAUGGGUACUCCUCUAAUCAACUAAGGUCUAUUAUCUAUGUAAGUUUUGCCUGCUCAUGUAAUGUUACAUCAUAUAUAGUGAUUCUUGGAGUCGCCUCAUAUAGCUAAUACUUAAUAGACAUUACUGGAAAGUAAAGCGUAACGAUCUGUGUUUUUUGUUUGUAUGUAUGUAUGCUCAAUGAUCUGGUUCGAGCAAGUCCGUAUAGAAAAGUAAUGUAUUGUCUUACACA